ensembl:rRNA 5S_rRNA 5S ribosomal RNA
GCUUACGGCCAUACCACCCUGAAUACGUCCAAUCUCGUCCGAUCUUGGAAGCCAAGCAGAGUCGGGCCUGGUUAGUACUUGGAUGGGAGACCGCCUGGGAAUACCAGGUGCUGUAAGCU